GGUCUAAUUAUGCCGACAACACUAAAUUUCAUGACUCUGCUGGUCGUCGGGCCAACACUCCGACGAAGGGGCUAGUGAUGCUGAUGGCGACAGGGGGAGGGUCGGAGCAGAGACAUCCAGCUUGUAAUUUAAUGGAAAAACAUUUUGCCCCACAUAAAGCGUGGUGAUGAGGGGGAAAUGCCCCUACAUAUCCCCAUGGCUGAGUGUCACUUUACAGUUUGACAGCCAUUGCCAUGGCUUGGCUACGCUUUCAGCUGGGAUUUAUUUAAGCCAGCGGGACACACAUGUGACAGUUUGAAGGCAAAACAUGGGGGGCUUAACAACUCUUAGAACUUUAAGAAUAACUAUGUGCCAUUAAAAAGGGUAAAUAAAAAUAAUCAAAAAGUGUUUACACACUUACACAAAAGCAAAGCAAAUACUAAAUACCCGUAUUUAUGUUUUCUAUACCUCAGGGUCAACUUCUCAAAGAAUUUUCUUCGUCGGCUUAAGUUUGAGCAAGUUGGUAAGUUGGCAAUCGUAUGAUGCACAUCAAAAUAUUCACACUCCAUAAUAUUUGCAUAUUAAUGGGCAUGUAUAAUUAACCCCAAUAAUUAAUGCCAGAAAACAGGAAACCUAAUGAAAUGUAAAAAUAUAAACAGCCAAAUUGGUCCCGUCUCUCUCUCUGUCGUAUUGCCAGGCUACCCGGUCCACGCUCCACUCCAUCUCUCUAUCGCUAUUGCCAUCUCUCUGUCAGUCUUAAUAAGAAUCAAUGGCUCCAGAGAAUUUGCGAUGUGUGUCUGAGUUAAUGCCUGAGUUGAGGCUUUUAGUUCCUAGUUGGAGUUUGAAGUGGAAGGUACCAGGUCGGGCACUAAUAGGCCUUUAAAUAUGUGUCCAAAUUUUGUUCUGCCUGGCCGGGGGGCAAAUGUUUGAACAGCAGUUGACAAAGUAGGUUGUUGCCGUUGCCCUUCAUUUAAC
rnacentral:lncRNA from 1 species